GUGGGAGCCUGGACUUGGGGAGCUGGUCGGCACGGGGCUGGGCAGGAUGCCAAUCCUUGAUCUAGUUGAUCCUUGGACUCUUACAGAAGGAAGGUUGUUUUGUCUUUCCCAAUCCUUGGGAAGGAUCAGAAAGCAUGGAGAUUUUUGACUAUUCACUCAAAUGGAAGCAGGAGGCAUGAAGAAAGCUGUCUGGGAACUCUGGACGGGCCAUCUUGCGGCCAGGCCUGCUCUGGGGCAGAGGCCAGCCCUUCUGCUGUGUGCCCCACAAAUGCUGGAGGGUAGAGGGCUGUGCUCUGAGGCCAGCCCUCUUGCUGCUCCCCACCUGCUCUAUAAGCUUCCUGAGGGCAUGUCUGCUUCCAGCUGGGUUUUCAACUCCAAAGUCAAUAUUGGUGCAAGAUGGGCC